rnacentral:misc_RNA from 1 species
AAAGCAUCAAUGGUUUUAGCU